UACGUAGGGUGCGAGCGUUGUCCGGAAUUAUUGGGCGUAAAGAGCUUGUAGGUGGUUUGUCGCGUCUGCUGUGAAAAUCCGGGGCUCAACCCCGGACUUGCAGUGGGUACGGGCAGACUAGAGUGUGGUAGGGGAGACUGGAAUUCCUGGUGUAGCGGUGAAAUGCGCAGAUAUCAGGAGGAACACCGAGUGGCGAAGGCAGGUC
rnacentral:rRNA from 1 species